rnacentral:rRNA from 1 species
UGGGGAAUAUUGCACAAUGGGCGCAAGCCUGAUGCAGCCAUGCCGCGUGUAUGAAGAAGGCCUUCGGGUUGUAAAGUACUUUCAGCGGGGAGGAAGGGAGUAAAGUUAAUACCUUUGCUCAUUGACGUUACCCGCAGAAGAAGCACCGGCUAACUCCGUGCCAGCAGCCGCGGUAAUACGGAGGGUGCAAGCGUUAAUCGGAAUUACUGGUCGUAAAGCGCACGCAGGCGGUUUGUUAAGUCAGAUGUGAAAUCCCCGGGCUCAACCUGGGAACUGCAUCUGAUAAUGGCAAGCUUGAGAAUCGUAGAGGGGGGUAGAAUUCCAGGUGUAGCGGUGAAAUGCGUAGAGAUCUGGAGGAAUACCGGUGGCGAAGGCGGCCCCCUAGACGAAGGCUGACGCUUAGGUGCGAAAGCGUGGGGAGCAAACAGG